rnacentral:tRNA from 1 species
UGUUCUGUAGCUUAGUUGGUUAAGGCGCCGGUCUAGCGUACACGGAGUCGUGAGUUCGAGUCUCACUAGAACGC